UGCCUUCCAUCAAAUCACUGCUGAGCCAGUUGAUCGAUUUCAGUCGAGUGGGACAGAAGGAGAGAGCUGAGAUACGAAGUUUAGGAAGAACACAGGUUCUCCAGUGUGUCCAAGGGGCCUGGAGGAGUGCUUUUACCAGUGAAGAUUGUCGAUAAAUGCAGUAAACAACAGGCUGCUUUCUCUCAGAAGAAGUUAUAUGAAGUUGUCAUCCAUUUGACGGUAUGUACUAUAUUCUCCUUCAUUUUUUAUCAGGUUCUGCCAAGGUAGGGAUGUGCAUAUAUUUUGCUAUAAAAUAAUGUUUCACAAUAGAAACUUUGUGUGCACUGUUAAACGAUCACCUAAUUAACCUCAACCUGUUUUUUCUCUAGGGAAGAAAGCUAAUUUCUCAGUUACAGGUAGGCAUUUAGAUGGAACUGUUCUUCCUCAGAUUUUGAAUGUUGUCCCCUCUGAUACAGCUGUGUCUGCUGUGGACAGACAUGUAUAUUGUUUAAGGAUAAACUGAAAUCUUAAAAGCCAUAGAUUACCUUUGAUUUAAAGGCCAGGAAUAUAGAUCAUAUACAAUUGUAGUAUAAUUUGUCACAUUGAAAAAAAUAACUACAUUCAGCUAUGGAUGUGCUAGCCAGCGUUUCCAUCACCAAUUUAAGGUUGUUAUGUCAAAACUCAUUUGCUAUUUUGCCCUUUCCACAGACCUGCAGUAGUGGAAAAGUGAACUGCAGUUUGCUCUUUUCACUCUCAUGGCAGAGUAAGAAGGAAUGAGAGCUCCUUCCCUAGGCCCUGUAUCUCCUCCAAGCCCACAGACUGGCUCUGCACGUGGGAAAAUGUGCAAGUGCUGUUACUCUGUCUCCUCCACUUCCAAAGCAGAAGAAUUGAGUCAGCUGAGGAUGUCCAGGAAAAAGGACCCAUCUCCCACCAGAUCCUGGGGUAGCUGAGUAAUAACAGGUCAUUGCCAGAGGAGGAAGGUCCCUGGAGUGGAAAAUGCAGGCUAUGCUGGCUUCCAUGGUAGGAUCUGCCUCGUUUUCUCCACGGCUGCUGCAGGUUUGCAGGUUUGGUGCUGCAGAGCUGGGUGUCUGCAGAAGUGCUCCUGCCCCACCUUGGUGCCCUCAGUCUCUUGGGGCCUGUGGCAGGGGGAGGUUUGGAGGUGGCCAGAAGAGAUGGACAGGGUGGGAAGGGUGGAGAUGGGACAUGUCUGCUGCUGGGGAGCAAGGCUGGCCACUGCACAGCUCCCAUAGCAGGAGGUUUGUGGUGGGGAGGGAGGUGGGGAUACCAUCUCUGGGUCUUGGAGGGCUUUUCUUCCUGAGGAAGCACAGAAAGCUGAAAGAUGAUCCACCCGUCCUUUACCCCUCCAAUAAACAUUCUGCCCUGUGCCCUCUAGAUGUGAGAAAGAAAAUGUGA
rnacentral:lncRNA from 1 species